UACGAAGGGGGCUAGCGUUGUUCGGAAUUACUGGGCGUAAAGCGCGUGUAGGCGGGCCGUUAAGUCGGGGGUGAAAGCCCAGAGCUCAACUCUGGAAUUGCCUUCGAUACUGGCGGCCUGUAGCAUGAUAGAGGCGAGUGGAAUUGUGAGUGUAGAGGUGAAAUUCGUAGAUAUUUGCAGGAACACCAGUGGCGAAGGCGACUCGCUGGAUCAUUGCUGACGCUGAGACGCGAAAGCGUGGGGAGCAAACAGG
rnacentral:rRNA from 1 species